rnacentral:rRNA from 1 species
UACGUAGGGACCAAGCGUUGUUCGGAUUUACUGGGCGUAAAGGGCGCGUAGGCGGCAAAUUAAGUCAUCUGUGAAAUCUCCGAGCUUAACUCGGAACGGUCAGGUGAUACUGAUCUGCUAGAGUGCGGAAGGGGCAAUCGGAAUUCUUGGUGUAGCGGUGAAAUGCGUAGAUAUCAAGAGGAACACCUGAGGUGAAGACGGGUUGCUGGGCCGACACUGACGCUGACAGCGCGAAAGCCAGGGGAGCAAACGGGAUUAGAUACCCCGGUAGUCCUGGCCUUAAACGAUGAAUACUUGGUGUCUGGAGUCUCUAUAGCUCCGGGUGCCGUCGCUAACGUUUUUAGUAUUCCGCCUGGGGAGUACGCACGCAAGUGUGAA